AGCACGGAAUUUUUGAAACAAAUGUCUUCUGCGGCGAGUACCCAUCGAGCCAAAUUUGCAUCAAAGGAUGGAAAGCCAGGGAAUCCCCACAUGACUGGAUCAUCCAACGUGGACAUGUGANGGGGUACCCCAGGGGGUCGAGAUCGGACAAGAUGAACAAGUGUAUCCGCAUUAUGAACGGAGGUGGUGUUGAGAAGAUUGGCUACUGCCUUAGCGAAUCCCCCUACUGCCAGGAAUACCAUCUUCCUUGGAAUCCCUCCCAUGUGCUUUCCAUUUCCUGCCCAUUCCAAUUUUCGCCCCAUUUAUUGACACACUCCUUAGUCCUGAAUAAGAUGGACAAACUCCAUACUCGACUUCUGCAGACUUCAAUUGGGUUUUGGGUAAGAU
rnacentral:misc_RNA from 1 species